GCAAGUCGAACGGUAACAUGAGAGCUUGCUCUUGAUGACGAGUGGCGCACGGGUGCGUAACGCGUAUACAAUCUACCUUUUACAGAGGGAUAGCCCAGAGAAAUUUGGAUUAAUACCUCAUAGUAUUGUUUUAUGGCAUCAUAAAAUAAUUAAAGAUUUAUCGGUAAAAGAUGAGUAUGCGUUCUAUUAGUUAGUUGGAGUGGUAACGGCACCCCAAGACAGCGAUAGAUAGGGGCCCUGAGAGGGGGACC
rnacentral:rRNA from 1 species